UUUGAUGGUGGCUCAGAUUGAACGCUGGCGGCAGGCCUAACACAUGCAAGUCGAGCGGUAACAGAAAUUAGCUUGCUAAUUUGCUGACGAGCGGCGGACGGGUGAGUAAUGCCUGGGAAUAUACCCUGAUGUGGGGGAUAACUAUUGGAAACGAUAGCUAAUACCGCAUAAUCUCUUCGGAGCAAAGAGGGGGACCUUCGGGCCUCUCGCGUCAGGAUUAGCCCAGGUGGGAUUAGCUAGUUGGUGGGGUAAUGGCUCACCAAGGCGACGAUCCCUAGCUGGUCUGAGAGGAUGAUCAGCCACACUGGAACUGAGACACGGUCCAGACUCCUACGGGAGGCAGCAGUGGGGAAUAUUGCACAAUGGGGGAAACCCUGAUGCAGCCAUGCCGCGUGUAUGUAGAAGGCCUUCGGGUUGUAAAGUACUUUCAGUUGUGAGGAAGGCGUUGGAGUUAAUAGCUUCAGCGCUGACG
rnacentral:rRNA from 1 species